rnacentral:rRNA from 1 species
UCGAUUAAGCAUAUCAAUAAGCGGAGGAAGAGAAACUAACCAGGAUUCCCCUAGUAACGGCGAGCGAACCGGGAGAAUAGAUUGAGCCCACUUUGUAAAUCUGAAGAGAUAUAUUUUCUUCCGAAUUGUAGUCUACACAGGUUGGUCUUUUUGGCAGAAGGAAUGUUGUCCAAGUGCCUUGGAAGAGGCCGCGCGACAGGGUGAGAGCCCCGUUGGACAAAUUGUAUUCAGUCAGAUGCACAGACUACCUUGUUCGAGUCGGGUUGUUUGGGAAUGUAGCCCUAAUGUGUCGGUGGUAAAUCCCAUCGAAGGCUAAAUACUGGCGGGAGACCGAUAGCGAACAAGUACCGUGAGGGAAAGAUGAAAAGAACUUUGAAAAGAGAGUCAAAAGUGCUUGAAAUUGUUGAGAGGGAAGCGAUUGUCUGAGUUGUUUUGGGGGUGCAUGGAUUUGGGGUUGGUUGCAGAGUUCAUUUCUGUGCCUCCCCAACCCUGCUGCACCCCCGGUCAGCAUCGGUUUCUGGAGGGGUAGAAACGCCAGGAUUACCUGGUUUGGAUUGUGAUUGAUUUUUCAGCUUCAGUCCAACGCCUGGCUCAUGCCCUUCUCUUUUUGAGACCGAGGAACAUUUACGGUGCCCCAGAAGAAUUCAUUCUUCCGCACCGGUUGAUGGAUGCUGGCUGACGCCGCUCAAUCGGCCCGUCUUGAAACACGGACCA